rnacentral:snRNA from 1 species
GCUACCCCUUCAGCGGCACCUGCGCUGGGAAGACUCAGGGAAGAUUACCAUGGCCCCUGUACAAGGAUGACAAUCAAAUCGGUGAAGCCUUCCAGAAAAGU